GUCGCUUUUCGGCCUUAUGGCUAAGAUCAUAGAUAGUAUCUGUUCUUAUCAGUUUAAUCCCUGAUAUGUUCUCUAUUUGAGGACUAAAUAUUAAUUAUAUUUUUAGAAUUGGGAUGUGAAAAGGGAGCUUGCUUCAUUCACUCCAAGCAUCAGUCUGCUAUUGCAGUGUUUCCAGGGAUGGUGCCCCUCCC